rnacentral:lncRNA from 1 species
UGCGUUCCACCGAAUCUAGUUCUAAAUUCAAAUUUUCUUCCUCCUCUAAUCCAUCCAUUGACUCCUCCUCAACUGGUUUGAUAGAUCUUCAUUAUACUCACCCAAUACAUAGACUUGAGCCUUUAGUUUCAAGAUCUGGGCAUCCCGAAGUUCCAACUGAUGUUGCUCCCGACUCAUCCAUUCUGAAACAUCUUCAAUCAA